rnacentral:rRNA from 1 species
GACGAACGCUGGCGGCGUGCUUAACACAUGCAAGUCGAACGGGAUUUAGUAAACAGAAACCUCGGUGGAAGAUUACUAAUGAGAGUGGCGAACGGGUGAGUAACGCGUGAGCAACCUGCCUAUGACAGUGGGAUAGCCUCGGGAAACCGGGAUUAAUACCGCAUAAAAUCGUAGAAACACAUGUUUUAACGGUCAAAGAUUUAUCGGUCAUAGAUGGGCUCGCGUCUGAUUAGCUAGUUGGUGAGAUAACAGCCCACCAAGGCGACGAUCAGUAGCCGGUCUGAGAGGAUGAACGGCCACAUUGGAACUGAGACACGGUCCAAACUCCUACGGGAGGCAGCAGUGGGGAAUAUUGCACAAUGGGGGAAACCCUGAUGCAGCGACGCCGCGUGAACGAAGAAGGUAUGCGUAUCGUAAAGUUCUGUCCUAUGGGAAGAUAAUGACAGGACCAUAGAAGAAAGCUCCGGCUAAAUACG